UUUUUUUUUUUUUUUUUUUUUUUUUUUUUUUCA
rnacentral:ribozyme from 1 species